GAGGGAAAGUUGAAAAGAACUUUGAAGAGAGAGUUCAAAAGGGCGUGAAACCGCUUAGAAUAAAACGGACGGAACCGUCUGAAGCCCUCGGGAAUCAGUCGAACGACGCGCGAACGCGCUCGGGUAUAACGGAACGUAAAAGUCCGGCUCGAGUGGUCUAGUAGUUGCGUUCGUAAGGCGCAUUUCUCGAGGGUAAGCGUCGCGACCGAUGCGUACGGCCGGCGAGAUCGUCGGGUUGAGGGCGAAACCCUUCGCGGGUAUUCGUAACCAGCCCGGCGGUUUUGCGCCGGACCUAAUGCAUCGAGCGUCUAGCGAAUAUAUGCGUCGGCGAAUAUAUACGCGCUCGCACGAACGAUGGACAGUCGGCCGAUUGAUCGACGCCUGCUCGCAGGCGCUCGGUUAACGCGAGGUCGGUUUUCGAAGUCGUCGGCGACGUACCGACGUUUAGGCGUCCGCGGCGUCCGAGUCGGUCACCCGUCCGACCCGUCUUGAAACACGGACCAAGGAGUCUAACGUACGCGCGAGCUAAUGGGUGGAAAACCUAUAAGCGCAAUAAAAGUAAAAACCGUCUUCACGACGGUCGAGGUACGAUCCCGGAGUAAAAAAAAAUUACGGGCGCAGUACCGUCCCGUCCUGACCGCUUGUCGGUAGGGCGGAGACAGAGUGCAUACGUUGGGACCCGAAAGAUGGUGAACUAUGCCUGAGCAGAGCGAAGCCAGAGGAAACUCUGGUGGAGGUUCGUAGCGGUUCUGACGUGCAAAUC
rnacentral:rRNA from 1 species